AAAAACAGAUUAAAUUAUGUCACAAAUCGCCGGACAUCAUUGAAAAAUUUGAAAAUCACAACAAUUGACAACUGCUAAGUGACAUUGACUUUUUCAUUUGAGUUACAGACUGCAUUAGAUGAGUUGAGUUGCAAGCUGGUUUGCAUGAUAAUGGAAACAGAUUUUUUUACGGAAACGCGAGAGCAUCCCUAGUCCCAAGACACAGGUUUUUUUUAUUGACAUACAUUAUCGACACCUCAUAAAGGUUACGAUCCAAAUUCAAUUACCACAGAGCCUUGGGAUGUACUCUACUUGCGGUGUGCCACAUGGACGAACGGGAAAUGUUAUGAGAAUUAAGCAUUAGUUCAUCACGGUCAUCGUAUAAAAACACCAAUAAAUAUUAUAAAAUUAUUUGUAAUUAUAAUAAAUCGACAAACAUAAUUAAAAUCUAAUUUUAUUUAAAUAAAAUUCUUUUAAGUAAAAUACAUUGUCCGUAGUCCGUAGAUAUAAGCAGCAUUGACACGGUGACGUCACACGUGGGCAGACGGACGCGCGGGUGCUACGCGAGGCCGAGCUUGUGUUUCUUCCGGAUCUUCCUCACGUAAGCCUCGAUCAGAGCCUGGAUCUUCGUGGGGUUGAUCUCUCCUGUUCUGUUGUGGCAGAUCUGGAAAUAUAACGCGUCUUUAUCAUGUGUCAUUAAAAACAAUAAUUGUCUUCCUGGAGUUAGUCGUGGCCUCCUCUCAGCUACCUGGGGCUAAGUAAGCUCGCUUGGGUAUGCUGUGUGAGAUAGAAUAGUAGCGGGUACUACCUAACCUAAACAUAAGGAGGCUGAGUUACUCGACGGAUCUUCUCAGCGGGUCGUGAUUACGAUCCGAUAAUAGAUUCAUUCACGGAGCUGCUGUUGACUUCUUAGGUCUUCUUUGGAGGCGCUCGAGUAGUUGUUAACAAAUCCUACCCGUCCUGGCUGAGCCCUUACCCGCCCACCUGUCCUGGUGAAACUGGAAAGGCCUCUGGGUCACCAGUAAUCCCUAAAUCAUUAAAAAAAAACAAUGGGUACCUUGGGGACAGCUCGUCGGAGCACAUCCUUGUACUCUUCUUUAGUGAUGCGCUUUCUGUUGUAGUGCGGCUUCAAGACCAACUUCACUUCUUCAACCACUCGCUCCUGUCUGUUGAGCUUCUUCAAGAACUGUGUUACAGAAGUACAUUUACUGUAUGAAUCUAUACAUACUAUAACACAUAACUGGUUACAAUAUUUAAAAUCAUAUUAAUAUAUUGAAUAAAAAAAAAAACUUGUUUCCCCAUUGUACACUGGCACACUUAAACACACAAACAUUAUUUCUUAAUUUACUAUUAUUUCUUGACGUUCGCAUCUUGUGUCCCGCAGCUCUGAAAUUGCCAUUAAAAUAUGUUUUCUUGUAUAUUAUUAAUUACUAUUGAGAGAAUGGCAAACCAGGCACUAAGUUAGGUCUCC